rnacentral:rRNA from 1 species
UACGUAGGUGACAAGCGUUGUCCGGAUUUACUGGGCGUAAAGAGCGCGCAGGCGGUCGAUCAAGUCGAGUGUGAAAGCCCCCGGCUCAACUGGGGAGGUCAUUCGAUACUGAUCGACUCGAAGGCAGGAGAGGGUAGUGGAAUUCCCGGUGUAGUGGUGAAAUGCGUAGAUAUCGGGAGGAACACCAGUGGCGAAGGCGACUACCUGGCCUGUUCUUGACGCUGAGGCGCGAAAGCUAGGGGAGCAAACGGG